ensembl:piRNA 21ur-4358 ncRNA
UCUAUUUCUGGUUAAUGCGCA